CAGUAAAGAGAUUUUUGUUCAAAAUUCACAUGUUUCUACAGAUUUUUAAGAAUAUUUCGCUAAACUGACUGAAUGUCAUUACAUUUCCACGAAUUAUACAUAUCGAAAUUAUUGCAUCAUUGAUCUUGAAACACAGAUUGUAAUUUGGCCGCUCUGAAAACAAUCUCCACAUUAGUGAAAAGUAAUCACAGUUCGAAUUGAGGUGUUGAGGUGAAUUGCGUUAAAUAAUAAUUGCCGAUUGUGAAUAAAAUUCGGAACUUAUGUUUGAUGUAUUAAUUUCUUUAAAUCUAGGUAACAGAAUUUCACUGCGAACAACGUGGAUGCCAAAGUGGUAAGCUUAAUUGAAUAAAAGUGAGUAAUAUAACCGGAUAAAACGAACACUCAUUAGCCAUAAUCUGCGCAGUUUUCAAGUUUUCAAUAUCCGAAGCUUAAGAAGUGUGAUUUGCUUAAAUUGAGGGUAACCUAAACUUAUUUAAGCGUGCUGAUCGUGAAACGCGGAAGUCUCCAUCUUUCCCAACAUAACAGACAUACAAGCGUCGAAUUGUGCCGAGCAGUUGAACUUAAAGGAUAAAAAGUUGUUUGCUGUUACACUUCGAACACUGCUUAACAUUUGUUAAGAAAUCAUAGAAGAUGUUGAUUAGUUAAGAAUACGAAUGCUUAAAUGAAAGGAAUAAAACAGUUUUAGAUGUUUUCGUUAUAAAAAAAAACCUAAGCAUUUUUUGAUGAAAAUCUAACAAAACGAGAUACAGCUGAAAUAUUAGAAAACUAUUAUCAGAGAGCAAAAAAAAAAACAAUACAUCAAUUUUACAAUCACAUGCUGAAGAGUGAAAAUAAUUUGUUACCAACUGAUAGCACAAAAGUAGAUAAUAGGAGAAUGGAGGAGACUUAUAGAAAAGGAGGUACAGCCGGCAUUGAAGGGAGCCUCUAUCAAAUAAAACUUUUAGCAUUGUUUUUAUAUAGAGGAAUAAAGGAAUCUUAUUUCUUCAAAUUAGCAAC